rnacentral:misc_RNA from 1 species
ACGAGUUUUGAAACGAGUUGUAGCUGGCCUUCCGAGGCAUGUGCACGCUCUGCUCAUCCACUCUACCCCUGUGCACUUACUGUAGGUUGGCGUGGGCUCCUUAACGGGAGCAUUCUGCCGGCCUAUGUAUACUACAAACACUUUAAAGUAUCAGAAUGUAAACGCGUCUAACGCAUCUAUCAUACAACUUUUA